rnacentral:misc_RNA from 1 species
GGAGCUCGCAAACGGUAAAAGCCAUGCUGCGAUACUUAACUUCAGCAAAGGAGCGACUGACAGUGUUAUGUUUCUUGGAUUUCCACGAAAUCAAUGAAAGGCCCAGAAAAAUGCAAAAUCCAGUUAACGACUUUUCGGACAUGGGACAUGCGUCCAAGUCCGCAUUACAGACUGCCAUCAAUUUGAAGUUGUUGCAAGCAGGGUAAAAGACCCCUUUGUCAGGGCAGCCUUUCAAAUACCAUAAGACGUGCAGGGCUGCUUGCCAAUGCGUUUGCCGAGGAUGCUACGUGAAUUGACUGAGUUGCUGGGUUGCGUUAGUGAUGUCAGGCAGAGUAAGGCUGAGAUAUAGAAGUCUUCCAACAAGCCGACAGUGUUAAUCAGGCUCAGGUAAUAGAGAACCCUCUUCAUUAUUGAGCUUAAGGCCUUUUGGGAAAGGAAACGUAGCAGCUUUAGCAUCAGAAAACCCAACAUCCAUGAUCAUAUUAAGGACAUAUUUGCGAUGGUUAAGAUACAUGCCUUCAGAAGACCUGGCUACCUCAAUACCCAAGAAGUAUUUUACAUAACCCACCCAGGUCUUUGAUGAUAAAAUGACUAUCAAAAUACUUUUUGACUGAAAUGAUAUCAGCCUCGGUUGGUCCUGCAACUAGAAUGACUGUGAUAAAGGAGGAGUAUGUGGUUGGGUUGGGACUAGUGCAGGUGAAUUGAAAACUGGUUGUG